rnacentral:rRNA from 1 species
CCGGAUUGGAGUCUGCAACUCGACUCCAUGAAGUCGGAAUCGCUAGUAAUCGUGGAUCAGAAUGCCACGGUGAAUACGUUCCCGGGCCUUGUACACACCGCCCGUCACACCAUGGGAGUGGGCUGCAAAAGAAGUAGGUAGUUUAACCUUCGGGGGGACGCUUACCACUUUGUGGUUCAUGACUGGGGUGAAGUCGUAACAAGGUAGCGCUAGGGGAACCUGGCGCUGGAUCACCUCCUUAUACGAUGAU